CUUAUCUCAACCCACAAGUCUUUUCGUAUAUUUUGUCUCCCUUGUCCAGCUGAGGAGAGGAGUGAUAGACCGGCUUUGGUGGGCACGUGGCAUCCAGCCAGGCCCAACCCACCACACAC